GUUUAUGGUCAUACCACCCCAAACACACCCAGUCUGCACUGAUCUUGGAAGGUAAAGCAGGGUUAGACUGCUUAGUACUUAGUGCUUGGAUGGGAAAAAGUCCUAUCUUAAAAA
ensembl:rRNA 5S_rRNA 5S ribosomal RNA